AACAAAAACAUGUCUUUUUGAUGAUAAUUUAAAGUCUGACCUGCCCAAUGAUUAUUUGAAUGGCUGCGGUAUUUUGACCGUACUAAGGUAGCAUAAUAAUUAGUUUUUUAAUUGAAAGCUGGUAUGAAUGGUUGGACGAGAAAAUAGCUGUCUCAAUUUAAUUUUAAUUAGAAUUUUAUCUUUAAGUUAAAAAGCUUAAAUAAGUUUAAAAGACGAGAAGACCCUAUAGAGUUUUAUAUUUAUUUAUUAUUGUAAAUUUAAAGAAUUUUUUUUUUUAUUAAUAAAUAAAUAUUUUGUUGGGGUGACAAAAAAAUUAAAAAAACUUUUUUUAUUUUAAAAACAUUGAUUUAUGAGUAAGUGAUCCAUUUAUUAUGAUUAAAAGAUUAAAUUACCUUAGGGAUAACAGCGUAAUUUUUUUUAAGAGUUCAUAUCGAAAAAAAAG
rnacentral:rRNA from 1 species